rnacentral:rRNA from 1 species
UACGUAGGGAGCAAGCGUUGUCCGGAAUCAUUGGGCGUAAAGCGCGCGUAGGUGGCCCCAUAAGUCCGCUGUGAAAGUCAAAGGCUCAACCUUUGAAAGCCGGUGGAUACUGUGGGACUAGAGUACGGAAGAGGCGAGUGGAAUUCCUGGUGUAGCGGUGGAAUGCGCAGAUAUCAGGAGGAACACCAAUAGCGAAGGCAGCUCGCUGGGCAGUAACUGACGCUGAGGAGCGAAAGCGUGGGGAGCGAACAGG